CCCCGCUAAAGCCCACAUCGAUCUGGCUAGGUAGGUUAGCGUCAGCUCCAACCCACCUCUCCCCAUCGCUCCUCAGCCGCCGCUCUUCUUUCUGCCGCUCGACCCCCUCCGCCGCUGCCCGCCCUCCUCGGCCCGACCACACCGCCGCACUUGCCGCCGCGGCUGCUGGUCCGCCGAGGCCUACCGCCCCUAGCCCACAUCGUGAUGAUCUCUCCGGUCUGGCGGCUGCGCCCAUACCAGCCUCGCCGGCGUCGCGAGCGUUAUCCACGUCGACCUCACCUCCCAAAAGCGGCGACGUGUCCUUCUCGUUGCUCCAUCACGGUGCGCAAGAUCGGCGAGUUGUGGCUGGUACUACAUGAGGCGCCCGCGAAGAAGCAACUGAACUGGUUGGAGAUGCGGCACCGGCCGAACAAGACCCAUGGAUUGCACGAAGAAACUCAUGCAGAUUGCUAGCUAGGAAACCAUGGUCGUCAUGAAAGCGAGGAAAGCAAUCAAAAGAUCAACUUCCGCGACCGCUGACGCCGGAGCCGGAGCCAGCAGCUCCAUGUCCAUGGCGCCUCCGCCCAGUCCCGGCGGGUUUAACGAACUCAAGCAGCCGUCGCCGCUGCCUCCCGACGUCUACUUCAACCCGACAAAUGCGGAUAGUAUGGGGUUCCUCAACCGGUGGAUCGCCGGCGACGACAAGAUGCCGGACGCGCGGGGUUUCAUCUUUCACAUCGACAUGUACGCCAACGGUCCCUGCGCGUUGCAGCAGCUUCACCCGCCGGCCAGCGCCCGCGCGGGCUAGCACACCUGAUGGUUCCUCGGCGAGUCCAAGUUCCAGAGCCCGUGCGCGGCGACCAAGAACAAGCGCGCCGACUGCAGCGUCCAGACCGGCGGGUACUGGCGGCUGGAGCAUACCAAGGAGGAGCUUCCUGAAGAGCGAGGGCUUAAGAAUAGCUUCGGGUUCUACUGCGUCCCGUCCCCAUCAUAGAAGCGCAAGACGCCGUGGCUCAUGCAGGAGUUCACCAGCGACAGGGAUAGGGGCGCCGGCAGGAAGUGCGUGCCUGCGCUCCACAAGAUAUACGUCACGCCGCGCACCACCGACGAGGGUCUGAGGGGAGUCUACGGGGAGGACGGCGUGACGGGGGGCAUCAAGAAGCUUGUCCCGGCAGACUAUUUCGCCACUACCGCCACGUUGAUGCCCCCGGGGAGUGUCCGUGUUCUCCGGCAAGAGCAAGAUGAGCUGCCACAGGUGUCGAAUCUGCCGCCUUCGCUCCCCGCCUCUUCCUCAUUACGGCAGCGUGCGACGGCCAAAACUUCAUGAAGCCUCCUCGAGUCCAGCGGCUGGAGUCCACAUGACCAGUUUCCCCCCUUCGUGUGGGUGAGGCAAGGAGAUGAACAGAUCCGGCAAGCGCUUACAGAGAACGAGGCCAACGUUGUCGCUGCCAGCGGAGUCCACGCCAUCGUCUACCUCAUCUUGUCUUUCUGCGGUACGGCAAAACAAAUCACGCUCAGUUCAUUUCUGUACCCGCUUUUGUUCCAGUCAUUUUUGGUUUCCAGGUUGAUUCACUUUCCUAUAGUUUCUACAUUUGUAUCAUUUAUUUCUGAAGUAAUAGAGUAGGUUUGAGAUUAUGUUUUUCUGAACGGGUUGUAUAGUAUCUGUAGUUAAUACUGUCCACCAUAAUUUACACUUUUCAUUUGAUAACGGAAAUAAUUGUAGGGAAUAGCAAAGCAUAAGCUCAAAUGGUUUGGUUAUUUAACUGGGUUUUCAGUUUUCUCAUAGUCAUCUACAGAUUUGGACCAACAAGACAUGAUGGUCGGCGGGUUAUUUAACUAUGGUCUUUCUUCUUCAUUAUCAAUUCGUCAGCUCUGCUGCUGGGAGCCGCGGACCUCAUUGGAAAGGAAAUAACUUGUAGAGGGCGUAUAAGGAGAUGCCAAUGGAAAAGAGAUGAGUUGAGUUUGUGUUUGGAGAUCUCAAUGAAAAAGAAAUGAAGAGUGUAGAGUGGUAAGAGGAGGAAUCGAGCCAAGUCCUAUUUUAUUUUAUUUUGAGCUUGGAGCCAGUCCUAUAUUUGUCACAAGACGUGAUAGACAUUUGCUUGAUGCCCAUCCCCAAAAGGAAAAUAAAAAUA